rnacentral:rRNA from 1 species
CCUACGGGUGGCAGCAGUGAGGAAUAUUGGUCAAUGGGCGCGAGCCUGAACCAGCCAAGUCGCGUGAGGGAGGACGGCCCUACGGGUUGUAAACCUCUUUUGCCGGGGAGCAACGGGUGUCACGUGUGGCUCCACUGAGAGUACCCGGAGAAAAAGCAUCGGCUAACUCCGUGCCCGCAGCCGCGGUAAUACGGGGGAUGCGAGCGUUAUCCGGAUUUAUUGGGUUAAAUGGGGGCGUAGGCGGAUCGUUAAGUCAGUGGUAAAAUUGAGGGGCUAAACCCGUUCCCGCCAUUGAAACUGGCGCUCUUGAGUGGAAGAGAGGUAUGCAGAAUGCGUGGUGUAGCGGUGAAAUGCAUAGAUAUCACGCGGAACCCCGAUUGCGAAGGCAGCAUGCCGGCUUCCGACUGACGCUGAAGCACGAAAGCGUGGGGAUCGAACAGGAUUAGAUACCCCUGUAGUC